rnacentral:rRNA from 1 species
GAUUAACGCUGGCGGCGUGCAUAACACAUGCAAGUCGAACGAUGAAACUUAAAUGAUUUCUUCGGAAUGAACUUAAGUGGAUUAGUGGCGGACGGGUGAGUAACGCGUGAGUAACCUGCCUUACACAAGGGGAUAGCCGUUGGAAACGACGAAUAAUACCCUAUGAAACUAUCACUUCGCAUGAAGCGAUAGUCAAAGUGUUAGCGGUGUAAGAUGGACUUGCGUCUGAUUAGCUAGUUGGUGAGAAAAAAGCCCACCAAGGCAACGAUCAGUAGCCGGCUUGAGAGAGUGUACGGCCACAUUGGGACUGCGACACGGCCCAGACUCCUACGGGAGGCAGCAGUGGGGAAUUUUGCACAAUGGGGGAAACCCUGAUGCAGCGACGCCGCGUGAUUUAGAAGGCCUUCGGGUUGUAAAAAUCUUUUGUAUAGGAAGAAAAUGACAGUACUAUACGAAUAAGGUCCGGCUAAUUACGUG